rnacentral:rRNA from 1 species
GUGAGGAAUAUUGGUCAAUGGGCGGGAGCCUGAACCAGCCAAGUCGCGUGAAGGAAGAAGGAUCUAUGGUUCGUAAACUUCUUUUGCAGGGGAAUAAAGUGCAGGACGUGUCCUGUUUUGUAUGUACCCUGAGAAUAAGGAUCGGCUAACUCCGUGCCAGCAGCCGCGGUAAUACGGAGGAUCCGAGCGUUAUCCGGAUUUAUUGGGUUUAAAGGGUGCGGAGGUGGAUUGAUAAGUCAGCGGUGAAAGUUUGCAGCUUAACUGUAAAAAUGCCGUUGAAACUGUCGGACUUGAGUGUAAAUGAGGUAGGCGGAAUGCGUGGUGUAGCGGUGAAAUGCAUAGAUAUCACGCAGAACUCCGAUUGCGAAGGCAGCUUACUAAGCUACAACUGACACUGAAGCACGAAAGCGUGGGGAUCAAACAGGAUUAGAAACCCCAGUAGUCC